GUGAUAUCCACAUCAUGGGUACUACCAAGAUUUUCCUGCUCCUUCUCUCAGUGGCCCUGUUGGCCCUGAGCUCAGCUCAAGGAACACCCAAGGAAGCCCCAAGACAGCAACCUGCUGAACCUGAACCAGGGGAUUUCCUGGAUAAAAAUUUCAAGCAGCCCCAAGGCAACAAACUAGGAAAAGUAAAGACGCAGAAGAGCCAGGCGACCCACCUGAAGGAGAACCAGGCGAACCACCUGAAGGCGAACCACCUGAAGGAGAACCAGGCGAACCACCUGAAGGAGAACCAGGUGCACCACCUGAAGGUAAGUAAUAUGUCUAUCUCUAAACACUCCUUUCUUUCCCCGUUCCUUGAGGACCCUAGACCUUGUCUCUCAUUUGAAACCAUUUGGCACAUCCACUCUUAAAGUUCAGUACCAAGAAAGAGAGGGUAAUAAUGAACUAAGAGGGUGGUCAGCUUAAAAGGCUUUGUUUUCUCUUGCCAUUGCAUAGCUCUCAUAUUUCCACCAGAGAUUUUUCCAGAUCAAAAAUUCAAAAUUAUUUUGCCAUCUUUUCCCAAAGCAUAGUUUGCUUUUUUCCAUUGCCUAAUAUCCUAGAUCAAACAUUUCAAGAUCACUUUGUAAUAUUUAAUGCAAUGUUCUCUUCAUGUCUCUGCAGUGUGGGUAUUUCUCUCUCUCUUUCUCUGUGUUUUCACAGUCCCUCUGUGUCUGGUCUUUCUCUGAAUUGAUAUCUUUAUCUCUCUGUCUCUGUCUCGCUUUUUCUCUGCCUUUGUCUCUCCCUCUGUCUCUCUCUCUUUCACACACACACACACACACACACACACACACCCAUACACACACACAUAUUCUCUGUAUCUCUCUCUCUCCCUUGUACUUUCACCUUUGAAAAAGUGAAAUUUCAGAAAGCAAAAGAGGAAAAGAAGGAAAUGUAAUAUUAGCAAUUCAAACAGACAAAUGCGUAUUGAAAAUAUUUGUACCUAAAACACAAAAUUAAGAAAUAUUACAUCCUGGACAUAAUUUCCCCCUUUACACAAAGGCUCUUCACUUCUUCUAAGGAAGGAGCCAUC
rnacentral:lncRNA from 1 species